UGGAAGAUUUAAGUGGCUGCAAAGUCCCCAUGAUACAAUAAGAAAAGCCUUUUUCCAUUUCUCUGCAUUGAGGGAUUACAGUUCUGGGGUCUUUUGUUAUCGCUGUGGACCCCACCCUUCGAUACUUGUUGCUGAUGCAAACUGGAAGGUUGCAUUUGACAUUCCAGCAUUGAAGAAACCUGAUCCUGACACAGUGAGAGCUGAAGACCUUUGUGUAAAUAUGAAAGCAAAGUGGCAGAACUUGGAAAAUGAGAUGAUUGCUUCUGGAUUUUGCACUGGUGGAAGUCACACAAUCCCUUUUCAAGCAUAUUGACAUAUUCUGAGUUGGCACCUUGGAUUGGAGAGAAUACUAGAGCUGGAGAUAUAGUUCCCAAAACAGAACACAGA